UUCCCUCUCUUUAUUUUUUUUAUUUACCUCCAAAAUUUUCUAAGUAUUAUUUUCCCACUUCUCAUCCAAAAGAUAACCUUUUUUCCCCCAAAAAUACAAUCUCUUCACACCAUGUAAAUCAUCCAUUUAGCCCUAAAUCAUCAAGUUCGUAAUUUGACGCAACCCAGUAUGAAAGUAACAGAUACAAUGUUACCCAGCUAGAAUGUUAAUCAGUUCUUUCAAAAAUUUAACUCGUUCUUCAAUAAUCCUAGCUUCAAUAGUAGUAGAAAGUGGUAAAAGUACUUCUUCCAGUACAGUUAUCAGUGUAUUGGUUGCCACCCGUUUGAGGGUGCUGGAGAAUGAGAACCUGUUAAAGUUGGCAAAACUUGUAAAGAUUGGCUUACCUUUAUGUUGGAUGGGUAUACUAAUCUGAAUUUUAUGGUGCACAAAAGUUGGAUCGGACAUCGUGGUUAUUAAAAAAAAAAGGUAAUCUGAUUACUGAUGUCUUUGAUGGCUGUUGUCCUGGUAUACAUUUAAAAAACUAUCAUUCUUGUAUAGUUUACAGUAUAUCUAUUUUAGUUAGUUAUCUUUGGGACACUCGUGCUAUUUCCAAGAUUAGUGUGUGAGUUGGUGUGGCUGAACAAUGUUGAUGCAUUCUGAUUGGUCUGCAUAUAUUAGCUUUAUCCUAAAAGGAUUGCUACCUUAGUUUCCUUUAGCAAUUGUGUCUCAUGGAUUUUGUAUUUUGUAGGUUUGUCAAGUCCAUACUGUUUCUACAUUGUAUAAAAGAUACUUUGCAGCAGGACUUGCAUUUUGUUCAAUCAACUCUUAUUUUUUAUCUGUGAUGGUCUGAUUUUGCUUAUAUCUCAGCUGAGGUACAUUUGCUUUUACAGUAUUCAAUUAAACAUUAUUGUGUGGAUGCUAUAUUCUGUAAACUGUCUUCCUCAAGCAAUGCACAUUGAUCUCUGAGCAUUUAAUGAUGUGAAAGAAGAUUUUGCAUCUCAAUGCCUAUAGUGAUCCUGUCGAAUUUUGUGUUGAUAUUUAUAUGCACAUACACAUACAUAGUCAUGUCUCAGUUUGCCCUUUUAAAGAAUUUAAUAUAUAUGCGAUUCCAAUAUACUAGGGAGCUUAUGGUUGCUUAGCUUCAAAAUUUUCAGUGACUGACAAAACUAGAGAAAAGAUCAAAUGAGUACAAUAAAAAGGAGUAUUACAUCUGCCAUGACCCAGCUAACAUGCUCUUAGACAUAAACGAUAAGUGUCACACCAAGUAAUAGUCCACAGCAUAGCCUAAAGUUCGACCAGUUGAAAAAGGACAUCUUUUUCCCUCUUUCUUUGGGAUUUUCAUCAUCAAACUGAUCAGCUCCAAAGCUCUCAAGAGAAGGCUUGUGUCCACCCGUUCCAAUAGAGAUUAAGUAGAUUUCAAGGAAGAAUAUCAGCUCAUGGACCUUCUCCGUUCAUCACAGAAGUUACUGUCACAAGGUUCUAAGCCCGGGAUCACUCUAGACAUUGUCAAGAGAAGCAAGCCCUAAACCACAUUUAAGCCAGAACAAGAGUGGAGAUUGUAGUUACCAGGAAGUAGAUCGUGGAAGAGAGAAGAACAGUGGAGAAUCUUCCCAAGUAUGCAUCCGCUAGAAAUCCUCCUAGCAGUGGCAUCAAGGUAUAUAAUCAAGCUCGUGGCUAUUCCAAAGUAACUCAGUCUCUCACUGAAUUCAAUCACUGUUAAGGUGUCUUCGAACCUAACAGUUCCUGAAUACUAUCUGAAAUUGAAUUGCUAAUGAUUGAUGGUAUAAAGUUGCCAACUUUCAGCCAAAAGGUAGAGAAAAAGGUAUGGAAGAGAGCAUGAAUAAUCGCCAACCACCCAUAGGAUCAAGAUUCUGGUGUUGUCAUACAGGUACACUCUUCUUGACAAUCUAAUUGUUGUGUUCUCAUAAGCUUGUGCCAAUACUAGAUUGCUUUGCAAAGUCAAUGAAUGAUCCCAUAAUUUCCACAAAAGAGCAGAAGGAAGCAUCCGAGAAUGGAGAUAUUGGGGAGAUAGAAAGGAAUUUUUGUUUCAGUAGCGCUAGAAAAGAUGGAAGGGAUGGGAGAGGAUCAGACAAACAAUUCUACAUCUGGAAGGUCUAACAUCUUCUAGUUUGAGUGUUAUGUACUCUGUAACUCUACUAGAAUUGUUCUUUUAUUGCUUAAUCUUCAUAUAGGACUUGCAGAUUUUAAUUUUUGUUUAAAGGUUGUAUUGGGUGCAGCAUAAGAGUUUGAAAUGUGAUAGGUUUGAUCACA